UUCAAUUCUAAGGGCUUUGAA
rnacentral:piRNA from 1 species